CCUACGGGUGGCAGCAGUCGAGAAUCAUUCACAAUGGGGGAAACCCUGAUGGUGCGACGCCGCGUGGGGGAAUGAAGGUCUUCGGAUUGUAAACCCCUGUCAUGUGGGAGCAAAUUAAAAAGAUAGUACCACAAGAGGAAGAGACGGAUAACUCUGUGCCAGCAGCCGCGGUAAUACAGAGGUCUCAAGCGUUGUUCGGAAUCACUGGGCGUAAGGCGUGCGUAGGCUGUUUCGUAAGUCGGGUGUGAAAGGCGCGGGCUCAACCCGCGGACGGCACAUGAUACUGCGAGACUAGAGUAAUGGAGGGGGAACCGGAAUUCUCGGUGUAGCAGUGAAAUGCGUAGAUAUCGAGAGGAACACUCGUGGCGAAGGCGGGUUCCUGGACAUUAACUGACGCUGAGGCACGAAGGCCAGGGGAGCGAAAGGGAUUAGAUACCCCUGUAGUC
rnacentral:rRNA from 1 species